AAUUUCCGAUAGGUGAAGACUCCUGGAAUGGAUUUUUGCCGAAAGGGCGCCUAGGGCAUGCUUCUAGGUGUUGCUCAAGGAUGGGGCCGCGGCCGAUCAGGUUGUUGGUGAGGUAAUGGCUCACCAAGCCUUUAACCGGUACGGGCCGUGGGAGCGGUAGCCCGGAGAUGGGCACUGAGACAAGGGCCCAAGCCCUACGGGGCGCAGCAGUCGCGAAAACUUCGCAAUAAGCGAAAGCUUGACGGGGCCAUCCCGAGUGCCAUCUGCUGAGGAUGGCUUUUACCCAGUAUAGAUAGCUGGGGGAAUAAGGAGAGGGCAAGUCUGGUGUCAGCCGCCGCGGUAAUACCAGCUCUCCGAGUUGUGGGGACGUUUAUUGAGCCUGAAGCAUCCGUAGCCGGCUGUGCAAGUCCUCUGUUAAAUCCAGCGAUAAAUCGUUGGCCUGCGGGGGAUACUGCUCGGCUAGGGGGCGGGAGAGGCCGUCGGUAUUCUUGGGGUAGGGGUGAAAUCCUAUAAUCCCAGGAGGACCACCAGUGGCGAAGGCUGUCGGCUAGAACGCGCUCGACGGUGAGGGAUGAAAGCUGGGGGAGCGAACCGGAUUAGAUACCCGGGUAGUCCCAGCUGUAAACGAUGCAGGCUAGGUGUUAGGGCGGCUACGUGCCGCUCUAGUGCCGCAGGGAAGCUGUUAAGCCUGCCGCUUGGGGAUACGNCCGGAAGGCUGAACUUAAAGGCCA
rnacentral:rRNA from 1 species